UAGUAUUUUAUAUGAUUUUUUUUUACUAAUAAAUAAUUAGAAACACAUUUAAGUAAAAAAAUUAUAUAAAUUAUAUAAUAACAAUAAAUGACAAAGAAUAUAACAAACAAGGUACAACAUAAACCUAAAAACAAUUUCAGCACUUGAAGUUUUUUAAAUCUAAAUAAAAUAACAGACCUAUCUAGGAAGGGGUCAAGAUUAAGCACAUUGAAUGGUACAGUUCUCAAAAUAUCAGGGCAAUAAACAAUUUAAUUUGAUAUAAUCUAAAAUGAUCACUUGUGUUACUAAGUCUAACAACAUUAACAUCAACUUUCAACAUAGUUUGUCCAAUUUAGUCUCAUGUUCAUGUUAUCAUUAUGAGGUGUUCACAGCUGCAUACAGUGAAUCUACAGGAAAGGUCCAAGAACUGUAGUAAAUAAAUAAAAUAAAAAUUUUCAUUAUCCUGUCAUAUCAUGUUGAAAAACAGGAAUUUUGCAGAAGAAUUUUUUACUGGUAAGUUGUUUGGGGUGGGUGGGGGGUGUAAGGGUAGUGUUGAUGAAAAACGUUUUUUUUUACAUAAAAUAAUUACCUUAAAAAAAUAAUUUACUCUCUCAGGUUACAGAAAAUUAACCAUAACUUAAAUUAUUCUUUAUUUCUAAUCACUUAUACACAGAUUUGUAUAGUUUUUAUUAAAACAAUCUUUGUGAAUGGUAUUUUUUUAAAUUUUCUUAAUAAAUUACGAAGUUUUUCCUCUAAGGUAAUUAUUUUCUGGCGUAAAAACCCCUUUUUCAUUAACCCUACCACCAACAAAUAGCUCUACAUCUAGAUCAAAACCUGUUAAGCCUGAAUAGCACAGAAAUCCACUUUAUAUAUUUUUUUAUUUAUAAUAUAAAACAAUUGGAACCAUCUGAGAUCACAAUAAUUCAUAAUAAUGGCUGUCUUGUUAACCAACUGGUGGAUUGUAAUUGUAAUUCUAGGAUCACUUGUGUUACUUUAGUGCCUUGACUAUAUAAGAUAAAAAAAACGAUCACCUAUGAGAAUUCAUGCCACCUAAAUUGUUAGCAAGUAUGUAGUUGAAUCUGCAAAGUCUUUAGGACAAAAAUAAGUCUAACAACAUUUACAUCAACUUUCAACAUAGUUUGUCCAAUUUAGUGUCAUGUUCAUGUUAUCAUUAUGAAGUGUUCACCUCUGCAUACAGUGAAUCUACAGGAAAGGUCCAAGAACUGUAGUAAAUAAAUAAAAAAAAAAUGUUCAUUAUCCUGUCGUAUCAUGUUGAAAAACAGGAAUUUUGCAGAAGAAUUUUUUACUGGUAAGUUGUUUGGGGUGGGUGGGGGGUGUAAGGGUAGUGUUGAUGAAAAACGUUUUUUUUGCAUAAAAUAAUUACUUUGAAAAAAUAAUUUACUCUCUCAGGUUACAGAAAAUUAACUAUAACUUAUAUUAUUCUUUAUUUCGAAUUACUUAUACACAGAUUUGUAUAGUUUUUAUUAAAACAAUCUUUUUGAAUGGUAUUUUUUAAAUUUUCUUAAUAAAUUACGAAGUUUUUCCUCUAAGGUAAUUAUUUUCUGGCGUAAAAACCCCUUUUUCAUUAAUCCUACCACCAACAAAUAGCUCUACAUCUAGAUCAAAACCUGUUAAGCCUGAAUAGCACAGAAAUCCACUUUAUAUAUUUUUCUAUUUAUAAUAUAAGACAAUUGGAACCAUCUGAGAUCACAAUAAUUCAUAAUAAUGGCUGCCUUGUUAACCAACUGGUGGAUUGUAAUUGUAAUUCUAGGAUCACUUGUGUUACUUUAGUGCCUUGACUAUAUAAGAUAAAAAAAAAACGAUCACCUAUGAGAAUUCAUGCCACCUAAAUUGUUAGCAAGUAUGUAGUUGAAUCUGCAAAGUCUUUAGGACAAAAAUAAGUCUAACAACAUUUACAUCAACUUUCAACAUAGUUUGUCCAAUUUAGUGUCAUGUUCAUGUUAUCAUUAUGAAGUGUUCACAGCUGCAUACAGUGAAUCUACAAGAAAGGUCCAAGAACUGUAGUAAAUAAAUAAAAAAAAAAUGUUCAUUAUCCUGUCGUAUCAUGUUGAAAAACAGGAAUUUUGCAGAAGAAUUUUUUACUGGUAAGUUGUUUGGGGUGGGUGGGGGGUGUAAGGGUAGUGUUGAUGAAAAACGUUUUUUUUUGCAUAAAAUAAUUACCUUAAAAAAAUAAUUUACUCUCUCAGGUUACAGAAAAUUAACUAUAACUUAUAUUAUUCUUUAUUUUUAAUCACUUAUACACAGAUUUGUAUAGUUUUUAUUAAAACAAUCUUUUUGAAUGGUAUUUUUUAAAUUUUCUUAAUAAAUUACGAAGUUUUUCCUCUAAGGUAAUUAUUUUCUGGCGUAAAAACCCCUUUUUCAUUAACCCUACCACCAACAAAUAGCUCUACAUCUAGAUCAAAACUUGUUAAGCCUGAAUAGCACAGAAAUCCACUUUAUAUAUUUUUUUAUUUAUAAUAUAAAACAAUUGGAACCAUCUGAGAUCACAAUAAUUCAUAAUAAUGGCUGUCUUGUUAACCAACUGGUGGAUUGUAAUUGUAAUUCUAGGAUCACUUGUGUUACUUUAGUGCCUUGACUAUAUAAGAUAAAAAAAAAACGAUCACCUAUGAGAAUUCAUGCCACCUAAAUUGUUAGCAAGUAUGUAGUUGAAUCUGCAAAGUCUUUAGGACAAAAAUAAGUCUAACAGCAUUUACAUCAACUUUUAACAUAGUUUGUCCAAUUUAGUCUCAUGUUCAUGUUAUCAUUAUGAAGUGUUCACCUCUGCAUACAGUGAAUCUACAGGAAAGGUCCAAGAACUGUAGUAAAUAAAUUUAAAAAAAAUGUUCAUUAUCCUGUCAUAUCAUGUUGAAAAACAGGAAUUUUGCAGAAGAAUUUUUUACUGAUCACCUGUUGAAACCUGUUGAGCCUGAAUAGCACAGAAAUCCACUUUAUACAUUUUUCUAUUUAUAAUAUAAAACAAUUGGAACCAUCUGAAAUCACAAUUCAUAAUAAUGACUGCCUUGUAAACCAAAUGGUGGAUUGUAAUUGUAAUUCUAGGAUCACUUGUGUUACUUUAGUGCCUUGACUAUUGUCAGAAAUAUAGAAAAAUAAAACCCAACUUUAAAAAAAAAUAACUAUUUUAAUUACAAUUUAAGAUUUAAAAAUAAAAUGAACAAAAGCAAACAAAAUAUAAAAGUCACCGGGAUCGACUUAAAAUUUCAAUAGUCAAAGCCUUACCUAUUUGCUUUUCCCAAAUUAUGCUGAGAUCGAUAUUCCCUUUCAUAAUAUAACGUUGACCUGGACCACGAUGACGACGGUACCAAGCCAGGCUAUAUGCACGUGAUCCUUAUUCGGCAUAUUUCUUACACUAUAUAAGAUAAAAAAAAUGAUUCAUAAUUUCUAUCGACUACAAGCCUUCAUGCCAAUUAAAUUGUUAUCAAGUAUUUAGGACAAAACUAAGUCUAACAACAUUUACAUCAACUUUCAACAUAGUUUGUCCAAUUCUGUCUCAUCUUCUGCAUACAUUGAACCUACAGGAAAUGUCCAAGAACUGUAUGUAGUAAAUAAAUACACACAUUUUCAUUAUCCUCAUAUUUAUUAUAUUUAU